rnacentral:rRNA from 1 species
AAAAAAGGUAAGCUACUAAGAGCGAAUGGUGGAUGCCUUGACUGGUAAAGGCGAUGAAGGACGUACUAGACUGCGAUAAGCUACGGGGAGCUGUCAAGAAGCUUUGAUCCGUAGAUUUCCGAAUGGGGCAACCCAAUGUAUAGAGAUAUACAUUACCUAUAUAGGAGCGAACGAGGGGAAUUGAAACAUCUUAGUACCCUCAGGAAAAGAAAUCAAUAGAGAUUGCGUCAGUAGCGGCGAGCGAAAGCGCAAGAGGGCAAACCCAGUGCUUGCACUGGGGGUUGUAGGACUGCAAUGUGCAAGAGGUAAGUUUAGCAGAACAUUCUGGAAAGUAUAACCAUAGAGGGUGAUAGUCCCGUAUGCGAAAAACAAACCUUAGCUAGCAGUAUCCUGAGUAGGGCGGGACACGAGGAAUCCUGUCUGAAUCCGGGUCGACCACGAUCCAACCCUAAAUACUAAUACCAGAUCGAUAGUGCACAAGUACCGUGAGGGAAAGGUGAAAAGAACUGAGGUGAUCAGAGUGAAAUAGAACCUGAAACCAUUUGCUUACAAUCAUUCAGAGCCCUAUGUAGCGAUACAGGGUGAUGGACUGCCUUUUGCAUAAUGAGCCUGCGAGUUGUGGUGUCUGGCAAGGUUAAGCAAACGCGAAGCCGUAGCGAAAGCGAGUCUGAAUAGGGCGCUUAGUCAGAUGCUGCAGACCCGAAACGAAGUGAUCUAUCCAUGAGCAAGUUGAAGCUAGUGUAAGAACUAGUGGAGGACUGAACCCAUAGGCGUUGAAAAGCCCCGGGAUGACUUGUGGAUAGGGGUGAAAGGCCAAUCAAACUUCGUGAUAGCUGGUUCUCUCCGAAAUAUAUUUAGGUAUAGCGUUGUGUCGUAAUAUAAGGGGGUAGAGCACUGAAUGGGCUAGGGCAUACACCAAUGUACCAAACCCUAUCAAACUCCGAAUACCUUAUAUGUAAUCACAGCAGUCAGGCGGCGAGUGAUAAAAUCCGUCGUCAAGAGGGAAACAACCCAGACUACCAGCUAAGGUCCCUAAAUCUUACUUAAGUGGAAAACGAUGUGAAGUUACUUAAACAACCAGGAGGUUGGCUUAGAAGCAGCCAUCCUUUAAAGAAAGCGUAAUAGCUCACUGGUCUAGUGAUUUUGCGCGGAAAAUAUAACGGGGCUAAAGUAAGUACCGAAGCUGUAGACUUGCACACAACUUAGAUUAUUUAAGUUUAGAAUAUGAGAAACUAAGUUAUAUGUUUAGUUAUAUUUUUACUGAUUUUUAUAGAGUAAAGAUAGAAAUAAAACUUAGUAAAAUCAGUAAAAAUAUUCUUAGACUAAAGUUAAGUAGUUUAAGUUGUGUGCAAGUGGUAGGAGAGCGUUCUAUUUGCGUCGAAGGUAUACCGGUAAGGAGUGCUGGAGCGAAUAGAAGUGAGCAUGCAGGCAUGAGUAGCGAUAAUUAAUGUGAGAAUCAUUAACGCCGUAAACCCAAGGUUUCCUACGCGAUGCUCGUCAUCGUAGGGUUAGUCGGGUCCUAAGUCGAGUCCGAAAGGGGUAGACGAUGGCAAAUUGGUUAAUAUUCCAAUACCAACAUUAGUGUGCGAUGGAAGGACGCUUAGGGCUAAGGGGGCUAGCGGAUGGAAGUGCUAGUCUAAGGUCGUAGGAGGUUAUACAGGCAAAUCCGUAUAACAAUACUCCGAGAACUGAAAGGCUUUUUGAAGUCUUCGGAUGGAUAGAAGAACCCCUGAUGCCGUCGAGCCAAGAAAAGUUUCUAAGUUUAGCUAAUGUUGCCCGUACCGUAAACCGACACAGGUGGGUGGGAUGAGUAUUCUAAGGCGCGUGGAAGAACUCUCUUUAAGGAACUCUGCAAAAUAGCACCGUAUCUUCGGUAUAAGGUGUGGUUAGCUUUGUAUUAGGAUUUACUCCGAAAGCAAGGAAACUUACAACAAAGAGUCCCUCCCGACUGUUUACCAAAAACACAGCACUCUGCUAACUCGUAAGAGGAUGUAUAGGGUGUGACGCCUGCCCGGUGCUCGAAGGUUAAUUGAUGGGGUUAGCAUUAGCGAAGCUCUUGAUCGAAGCCCGAGUAAACGGCGGCCGUAACUAUAACGGUCCUAAGGUAGCGAAAUUCCUUGUCGGUUAAAUACCGACCUGCAUGAAUGGCGUAACGAGAUGGGAGCUGUCUCAAAGAGGGAUCCAGUGAAAUUGUAGUGGAGGUGAAAAUUCCUCCUACCCGCGGCAAGACGGAAAGACCCCGUGGACCUUUACUACAGCUUGACACUGCUACUUGGAUAAGAAUGUGCAGGAUAGGUGGGAGGCUUUGAGUAUAUGACGCCAGUUGUAUAUGAGCCAUUGUUGAGAUACCACUCUUUCUUAUUUGGGUAGCUAACCAGCUUGAGUUAUCCUCAAGUGGGACAAUGUCUGGUGGGUAGUUUGACUGGGGCGGUCGCCUCCCAAAUAAUAACGGAGGCUUACAAAGGUUGGCUCAGAACGGUUGGAAAUCGUUCGUAGAGUAUAAAGGUAUAAGCCAGCUUAACUGCAAGACAUACAAGUCAAGCAGAGACGAAAGUCGGUCUUAGUGAUCCGGUGGUUCUGUGUGGAAGGGCCAUCGCUCAAAGGAUAAAAGGUACCCCGGGGAUAACAGGCUGAUCUCCCCCAAGAGCUCACAUCGACGGGGAGGUUUGGCACCUCGAUGUCGGCUCAUCGCAUCCUGGGGCUGGAGCAGGUCCCAAGGGUAUGGCUGUUCGCCAUUUAAAGCGGUACGCGAGCUGGGUUCAGAACGUCGUGAGACAGUUCGGUCCCUAUCUGCCGUGGGCGUAAGAAGAUUGAAGAGAUUUGACCCUAGUACGAGAGGACCGGGUUGAACAAACCACUGGUGUAGCUGUUGUUCUGCCAAGAGCAUCGCAGCGUAGCUAAGUUUGGAAAGGAUAAACGCUGAAAGCAUCUAAGCGUGAAGCCAACUCUAAGAUGAAUCUUCUCUAAGCUCUCUAGAAGACUACUAGUUUGAUAGGCUGGGUGUGUAAUGGAUGAAAGUCCUUUAGCUGACCAGUACUAAUAGAGCGUUUGGCUUAUCUUUAAUAAAGCAU